rnacentral:rRNA from 1 species
CCUACGGGAGGCAGCAGUGGGGAAUAUUGCACAAUGGGGGAAACCCUGAUGCAGCGACGCCGCGUGAGUGAAGAAGUCUUUCGGUAUGUAAAGCUCUAUCAGCAGGGAAGAAGAAAGACGGUAGCUGACUAAGAAGCCCCGACUAAAUACGUGCCAGCAGCCGCGGUAAUACGUAGGGGGCAAGCGUUAUCCGGAUUUACUGGGUGUAAAGGGAGCGUAGACGGGUGUGCAAGUCUGAAGUGAAAGCCUAGGGCUCAACCCUGGGAUUGCUUUGGAAACUGUGGAGCUAGAGUGCUGGAGAGGUAAGUGGAAUUCCUAGUGUAGCGGUGAAAUGCGUAGAUAUGAGGAGGAACACCAGUGGCGAAGGCGGCUUACUGGACAGUAACUGACGUUGAGGCUCGAAAGCGUGGGGAGCAAACAGGAUUAGAUACCCUGGUAGUC